rnacentral:tRNA from 1 species
UGGUAGAGCACUCCCUUGGUAAGGGAGAGGUCUCGAGUUCAAAUCUCGAUAAGAGCU